rnacentral:rRNA from 1 species
AGAGUUUGAUCCUGGCUCAGAAUGAACGCUGGCGGCGCGCCUAACACAUGUAAGUCGAACGAGAAAUUUCUGCUUCGGCGGAAAGAGUAAAGUGGCGCACGGGUGAGUAACGCGUGGGUAACCUGCCCUCGAAUUCGGGAUAACUUCGCGAAAGCGGCGCUAAUACCGAAUAUCGUCACAGAGACCUUGGUUUUUGUGAUGAAAGAUGACCUAUCCAUGGAAGUUGUCGUUCGGGGAGGGGCUCGCGUACCAUUAGCUUGUUGGUGGGGUAAUGGCCUACCAAGGCGACGAUGGUUAGCUGGUCUGAGAGGAUGAUCAGCCACACUGGCACUGAAACACGGGCCAGACUCCUACGGGAGGCAGCAGUGAGGAAUUUUGCGCAAUGGGGGAAACCCUGACGCAGCAACGCCGCGUGAGUGAAGAAGGCUUUCGGGUCGUAAAGCUCUGUCAAGUGGGAAAAAAGCCUUUCAGUUAAUAGCUGGAAGGUCUGAUGGUACCACUGGAGGAAGCACCGGCUAACUCCGUGCCAGCAGCCGCGGUAAUACGGAGGGUGCAAGCGUUGUUCGGAAUUACUGGGCGUAAAGAGCGUGUAGGCGGUAAGGUAAGUCAGAUGUGAAAGCCCUGGGCUUAACCCAGGAAGUGCAUUUGAAACUGCCCUACUAGAGUAUGGGAGAGGAGAGUGGAAUUCCCGGUGUAGAGGUGAAAUUCGUAGAUAUCGGGAGGAACAUCCGUGGCGAAGGCGACUCUCUGGACCAAUACUGACGCUGAGACGCGAAAGCGUGGGGAGCAAACAGGAUUAGAUACCCUGGUAGUCCACGCCGUAAACGAUGAGCACUAGGUGUAGCGGGUAUUGACCCCUGCUGUGCCGCAGCUAACGCAUUAAGUGCUCCGCCUGGGGAGUACGGCCGCAAGGCUAAAACUCAAAGGAAUUGACGGGCCCGCACAAGCGGUGGAGCAUGUGGUUUAAUUCGACGCAACGCGAAGAACCUUACCUGGAUUUGACAUCCCCUGACACCCCAGGAAACUGGGUUUACCCUGCUUGCAGGGACAGGGUGACAGGUGCUGCAUGGCUGUCGUCAUCUCGUGUCGUGAGAUGUUGGGUUAAGUCCCGCAACGAGCGCAACCCCUGUCUUUAGUUGCCAGUAUUAAGUUAGGCACUCUAAAGAUACUGCCUCGGCUAACGGGGAGGAAGGUGGGGAUGACGUCAAGUCCUCAUGGCCUUUAUAUCCAGGGCUACACACGUGCUACAAUGGGUCGUACAAUGGGUC